CCCUGCCUUCCUGGGCUGCAAGCUGUAAAUGCUCUGAGAUAACCGCACGUGCCAGCUCAGCUCAGAGGAACCCAUUUUGCCACCUCACCAUAGCCCCGUUGGCAGGUAUCUUCCUAGGGCCAAUGCUCUCACGGAGCUUAUCUCCAGGAGUUUCUUCUCUGGGCAAGGAAUUCCUGCUUCCUCCUAGGGCUGGGUGUGCAGCAGGUUUUGUUUGUUGACAUUGGCAAGCCUCUCGGGCUCCAUCUCAGUGCCUCUCUAGCUCGUGGAUGUUUCAUUUAGUGCUUUGUGCUGCUUCGCUUUCAUGCCUCGAGUUCUUCUCAAAUGGCCUUCCAACCAGCUUUUUUGCUUGACUCUGGGGGCCUAUUCAAACAAAGAGGAAAAACCACCAAACAGGAUAAGCUGUUGCAAGAAGCUAAGUUCAGCUGACAUUUCGGAUGAGGCCUCAGGAAGAGUUGCAAAAAGGCGCUGUUGCAGAACAGAGACUGCAUCCAGUUUCCGUUUCGGCAGUGGGGCUGACAUCCAUCCCAGUGAGACCAUGAAGGAUGCGCAAGUGAUCCCACGAGGCAAGAAGGGAAGAAAAGAGGCUGUUCCUCUGCAGGCUGGGUGGUUACAGGGCACGGCAGCAGCGUCACCGCCAGCAGGGCGUGGGGUGCGCAGGAUGGUGCCCCCGUGCCUCCAGCGCUCUGCGGGCCUCUCCUCCGGCCCCCAGAACCUGGCCUGAUAAACCCAGAGAGGAUGAAGAAGGAGGAGGGAGCCAGUUCAACGCAGUAUUGUUGCUGGACCUAGAGGGAUGUUGUCUGUCCUCCAUGACCCCAGUACCUUUCCUAUCACCGAGGAAGAUGAAGCCAGGACAGCAGUGCAGCCUCUUUCUUGCAGCUGCAUCUUGCCUAGGUGGCUGAUGCAACUUCAAACCCUCCUAAUCCCUGGCUUUCAGAGUAGCACUUUUUGACUAUUGAUGCAAGGAAUAAGAAACAUCACCCUUAAUAUCUGUUUAAAAUUCAGCAAGGCUCUUACCAGACAUAGAACCAAGGAGCUGAAAAAUGAAAGCAUAGAAUCACAGAAUAUCCCGAGUUGGAAGGGACCCACAAGGAUCAUCGAGUCCAACUCCCGGCUCCACACAGGACCACCCAAAAAUCAAACCAUAUGUCUGAGAGCGUUGUCCAAACACUUCUUGAACUCCGUCAGGCUCGGUGCCAUGACCACUUCGCUGGGGAGCCUGUUCCAGUGCCAACCACCCUCUCAGUCAAGAACAUUUUCCGAAAACCGAGCCCGAACCUCCCCUGUUGCAGCUUCAUGCCACUGAAGCAGGCUCUCUGCUCCAAGUGCAAUUUGAACACAGAAUUAGGCCACGGCAAAAUGCUCCCCUCCUAAGGAGGUGAGCUGCCAGGCAGAGGGAUGCAGGGACAGCCUUGAACUCUCACCCACACUCGCAACGACUGCACAGCUCCCGUGCCAAAGUCUCCGGCCUCAGCCUAGUUUCAGAAAUGGGACUCACAAUCUCAGUAGCAACCUGCUCCUGGUACGUGAAGAAUGUUUAUUGACAACUGCUAAGACGUCUGCGAGCUUUUCAGCUGAUAUAAGUAUCCGCAUCCUUCUGCACAAGUGUCAUUCUCCGUGUCAUGUGGCAGUUCUGGGCUUAGCUGGCAUUUGAUCUUGCCAGUAAAAUCUGCUGCUUCUCUGUAUAAUAAUGAGAAAGACUUGUGAAAGAAAAUAGAGCAGCAAUGAGUCAGAAUUCUAGACUUAGCUCUUUUGUGAGCAAUAAGCAAUUUCUACCACACUAAUGCAAUUGGGGUGAAUAAAAUCAUGCGUCAAUCCA
rnacentral:lncRNA from 1 species